rnacentral:pre_miRNA from 1 species
UCCUCGUCUAUGGCACUAUAGAAUUCACUGUGUGUUGUGUUGCCAUGGUAACAGCUGGUUCUACAGUGCCAUUGCAUGAUGG